rnacentral:rRNA from 1 species
ACGGAGGGUGCAAGCGUUAUCCGGAUUCACUGGGUUUAAAGGGUGCGUAGGUGGGCAGGUAAGUCAGUGGUGAAAUCUCCGGGCUUAACCCGGAAACUGCCGUUGAUACUAUUUGUCUUGAAUAUUGUGGAGGUAAGCGGAAUAUGUCAUGUAGCGGUGAAAUGCUUAGAUAUGACAUAGAACACCAAUUGCGAAGGCAGCUUACUACACAAUGAUUGACGCUGAGGCACGAAAGCGUGGGGAUCAAACAGGA